rnacentral:tRNA from 1 species
GGCCUACCACCUCUUAUUUACC